rnacentral:lncRNA from 1 species
CAACCUCUCUCUGAAACCCUAACUUCCAUAUCCAUUUAUCCUUUAAACAAAACCACAACAAAACCACAACAAUCCCACAACACACAAACUAUUCCCACCUUCCUAAAACAUCCACUUCCAAACACCUAGACCAAAAACCCUCACCAAAACCACACAAAAUCCUCCCCUGCUCACGAAACACAUUUUCUCCAAAUAUCCUUCAAUGAUACUAACGAGAGAUGAUAAAGGAAAGAGAAAAUCCACCUCUACUAUAUAUCAUGUUUCUAGAGUAAGAAGAAAUUGGGGAUCAACUCAAAUGUCAACCCUUAUGGGAUAAUCUUCACGACGUCAAAGAAAUAGAAACAAUACAACAUUUUUGCUAAAAUUAGAAACACUCCAUCUAGGUAUUUGUUUCACAAUACAGGAAUAAGUUACUUUAUCACCCUAAAAUGCACAGCAUAUGCACAAGUGACCUUAGAUCUUUUGAGCACUCUUGAGGUAACUACAAAGAGAAUUAUGAAUCAUUUUCAUGACAACAUUAAGUUUGAGGUUGGAGGAUUUUUGUUAAAUCUUUCAAUUGCCUACCAAAGGGAAUAAGGUAGUCCCUUGAGACUUUCUUGCUGCAUGAUAGUUGAUGAAGUUUGUUAAAGAGAUAUAUGAAUCUGCCAAGUCAAAGACAACAUUACACACCCCUACCCAAUGACCAUCUGAGCAUACAGAGAGUGAUCAGGAAUGUGGGGAGCAAUAAAGGUAAACUGGACUGCUAAUGGAGCAGAACGAACUUCUAUUGAGGCAGCAACAGAUGAUGGAUGCCAUGUACAACUGGAAUUUAUAUCAGGGCCACUUUCCACCUCAUCAAUGUUGAGUUUAAGUAUACGUGGGGAUCUUACUACUAUGAAAUUUAUCCAUUGGUGAUGAAUCAUUAUGAAAAUGUGAAAAAAUAUUUAAAAAUUGAAUUUAUGCAUUGUAAAAAAAAAUACUUGAAGUAUAGUGCAUAGUUUUUAUUUCCAUAUUUUUUAUUUUUUAUUUCCAUUCAGUAUGGUUGUUUUACUUCCACAUUUUUGUUUUUAUUUGUUUUUUAAGUAUAGUGCGUAGAACAUAAAACUGUAAAAGACAGGAAAAAGCUACUUAAAGUAUGUUUUGACUUUUCUACUCUAUCGAAUUUUUCUGAAUUUCAUA